rnacentral:rRNA from 1 species
CCUACGGGAGGCUGCAGUAGGGAAUAUUGCUCAAUGGGCGAAACCCUGAAGCAGCAACGUCGCGUGGAGGAUGAAUGUUCUCGGGUUUUUAACCCUUUUUUUUAGAGAAGUUAAUUACGGUAUCUUACGAAUAAGCACCGGCCAACUCCGUGCCAGCAGCCGCGGUAAUACGGAGGCGGCAAGCGUUACUCGGAAUCACUGGGCGUAAAGGGCGCGUAGAGGGGUUAGCAAGUCAGAUGUGAAAUUCUAGGGCUUAACCAUAAAACUGCAAUUGAUACUGGUAGUCUAGAGUAUGGGUGAGGUAGGUGGAAUUCUUGGUGUAGGGGUAAAAUGCGUAGAGAUCAAGAGGAAUACUGAUUGCGAAGGCAGCCUGCUAGAACAUAACUGACACUGAUGCGCGAAAGCGUGGGUAGCAAACAGGAUUAGAUACCCGAGUAGUC